rnacentral:rRNA from 1 species
AUUGAACGCUGGCGGCGUGCUUAACACAUGCAAGUCGAUCGGUAACGCGGGGGCAACCCUGGCGACGAGAGGCGGACGGGUGAGGAACGCUUGGGAAUCUGCCUAUCAGCGGGGGACGACCCGGGGAAACUCGGGCUAAUACCGCAUACGCUCUACGGAGGAAAGACGGGGACCGCACGGCCUGGCCCUGAUAGAUAAGCCCAAGUAGGAUUAGCUAGUUGGCGGGGUAACGGCCCACCAAGGCGACGAUCCGUAGCGGGUCUGAGAGGACGAUCAGCCACACUGGGAGUGAGACACGGCCCAGACUCCUACGGGAGGCAGCAGUGGGGAAUAUUGGACAAUGGGGGAACCCCUGAUCCAGCGACGCCGCGUGGGUGAAGAAGGCCUGCGGGUUGUAAAGCCCUUUCGGUAGCGACGAAAGCUCUCGACCUAACACGUCGGGAGGUUGACUUAACCUACAAAAGAAGCACCGGCUAACUCUGUGCCAGCAGCCGCCGUAACAC